GAUGAACGCUGGCGGCGUGCCUAAUACAUGCAAGUCGAGCGAAUGGAUUAAGAGCUUGCUCUUAUGAAGUUAGCGGCGGACGGGUGAGUAACACGUGGGUAACCUGCCCAUAAGACUGGGAUAACUCCGGGAAACCGGGGCUAAUACCGGAUAACAUUUUGAACCGCAUGGUUCGAAAUUGAAAGGCGGCUUCGGCUGUCACUUAUGGAUGGACCCGCGUCGCAUUAGCUAGUUGGUGAGGUAACGGCUCACCAAGGCAACGAUGCGUAGCCGACAGGAGAGGGUGAUCGGCCACACUGGGACUGAGACACGGCCCAGACUCCUACGGGAGGCAGCAGUAGGGAAUCUUCCGCAAUGGACGAAAGUCUGACGGAGCAACGCCGCGUGAGUGAUGAAGGCUUUCGGGUCGUAAAACUCUGUUGUUAGGGAAGAACAAGUGCUAGUUGAAUAAGCCGGCACCUUGACGGUACCUAACCAGAAAGCCACGGCUAACUACGUGCCAGCCGCCGCGGUAA
rnacentral:rRNA from 1 species